rnacentral:rRNA from 1 species
UAUGUACGUUAAAGGGUGUAGAUACUUCUAUAUAGGCAAAUCCGUAUAGUAAUUCGAACCUGACAGUACCUUGAGCCUUCGGGCAAGAGGAUAGUGAACCUAAUCAUGCUGCCGAGAAAAACCUCUAAGUUAUGUUGUAAAAACCCGUACCGCAAUCCGACACAGGUAGUCAAGGAGAGAAUCCUGAGGCGCUCAAGUGAAUCACGGUUAAGGAACUCGGCAAAUUAAUCCUGUAACUUCGGGAGAAAGGGUGCCCCUUUAGGGGGGCCGCAGUAAAAUGGCCCAGGCGACUGUUUAACAAAAACACAUGGCUAUGCUAAAACGAAAGUUGACGUAUAUGGCCUGACACCUGCCCGGUGCUGGAAGGUUAAGAGGGGAUGUCAGCGCAAGCGAAGCAUUGAAUCGAAGCCCCAGUAAACGGCGGCCGUAACAAUAACGGUCCUAAGGUAGCGAAAUUCCUUGUCGGGUAAGUUCCGACCUGCACGAAUGUGUAACGAUCUGGGCACUGUCUCAACCGUGAGCUUGGUGAAAUUGUGGUAUCGGUGAAGACGCCGGUUACCCGCAUCGGGACGGAAAGACCCCAUGCACCUUCACUACAGUUUUGCAUUGACUUUGGGUAAAUAAUGUGUAGCAUAGGUGGGAGGCUUUGAAGCGGUGCCGCUAGGUGUCGUGGAGCCAAAGGUGAAAUACCACCCUUUAUUUACUUGGAGUCUAACCCCGCCACGCGGGGGACAUUGCACGAUGGGUAGUUUGACUGGGGUGGUCGCCUCCAAAAAAGUAUCGGAGGCUUUCAAAGGUACCCUCAGCACGCUUGGUAACCGUGCGCAGAGUGCAAUAGCAUAAGGGUGCUUGACUGUGAGACCCACAAGUCGAUCAGGGUCGAAAGACGGAUAUAGUGAUCCGGUGGUUCCGCAUGGAAGGGCCAUCGCUCAUAGGAUAAAAGGUACGCUGGGGAUAACAGGCUGAUCUCCCCCAAGAGCUCAUAUCGACGGGGAGGUUUGGCACCUCGAUGUCGGCUCGUCACAUCCUGGGGCUGGAGAAGGUCCCAAGGGUUCGGCUGUUCGCCGAUUAAAGUGGCACGCGAGCUGGGUUCAGAACGUCGUGAGACAGUUCGGUCCCUAUCUGAUGUGGGCGCUGGAAAAUUGAGAGGAUCUGACCUUAGUACGAGAGGACCGGGUCGGACGUACCGCUGGUGUAUCUGUUGUUGUGCCAACGGCAUUGCAGAGUAGCUACGUACGGAUAAGAUAAGCGCUGAAAGCAUCUAAGUGCGAAACUUACCUCAAGAUUAGUUUUCCUUUAAGAGUCGUAGAAGACUACUACGUUGAUAGGCUACAGGUGUAAAGUCAGUAAUGGCAUAGCUGAGUAGUACUAAUUACUC